rnacentral:rRNA from 1 species
CCGUCAGGAUGAACGCUAGCUACAGGCUUAACACAUGCAAGUCGAGGGGCAGCAUGAAUAUUGGCUUGCCAAUAUUUGAUGGCGACCGGCGCACGGGUGAGUAACACGUAUCCAACCUUCCGGUUACUCGGGGAUAGGCUUUCGAAAGAAAGAUUAAUACCCGAUGUUGUGUAUCUUUCUCCUGAAAGAUACGCCAAAGGAUUCCGGUAACCGAUGGGGAUGCGUUCCAUUAGGCAGUUGGCGGGGUAACGGCCCACCAAACCUUCGAUGGAUAGGGGUUCUGAGAGGAAGGUCCCCCACAUUGGAACUGAGACACGGUCCAAACUCCUACGGGAGGCAGCAGUGAGGAAUAUUGGUCAAUGGACGGAAGUCUGAACCAGCCAAGUAGCGUGAAGGAUGACUGCCCUCUGGGUUGUAAACUUCUUUUAUACGGGAAUAACAUGAGGUACGCGUACCUUAUUGCAUGUACCGUUAUGAAUAAGCAUCGGCUAACUCCGUGCCAGCAGCCGCGGUAAUACGGAGGAUGCGAGCGUUAUCCGGAUUUAUUGGGUUUAAAGGGAGCGUAGGUGGGAUAUUAAGUCAGCUGUGAAAGUUUGGGGCUCAACCUUAAAAUUGCAGUUGAUACUGGUUUCCUUGAGUACGGUACAGGUGGGCGGAAUUCGUGGUGUAGCGGUGAAAUGCUUAGAUAUCACGAAGAACUCCGAUCGCGAAGGCAGCUCACCGGGCCGGAACUGACACUGAUGCUCGAAAGUGCGGGUAUCAAACAGGAUUAGAUACCCUGGUAGUCCGCACAGUAAACGAUGAAUACUCGCUGUUUGCGAUACACAGUAAGCGGCCAAGCGAAAGCGUUAAGUAUUCCACCUGGGGAGUACGCCGGCAACGGUGAAACUCAAAGGAAUUGACGGGGGCCCGCACAAGCGGAGGAACAUGUGGUUUAAUUCGAUGAUACGCGAGGAACCUUACCCGGGCUUAAAUUGCGCUGGCUUUUACCGGAAACGGUAUUUUCUUCGGACCAGCGUGAAGGUGCUGCAUGGUUGUCGUCAGCUCGUGCCGUGAGGUGUCGGCUUAAGUGCCAUAACGAGCGCAACCCUUAUCUUUAGUUACUAACAGUUUUGCUGAGGACUCUAAAGAGACUGCCGUCGUAAGAUGCGAGGAAGGUGGGGAUGACGUCAAAUCAGCACGGCCCUUACGUCCGGGGCUACACACGUGUUACAAUGGGGAGCACAGCAGGUUGCUACACGGCGACGUGAUGCCAAUCCGUAAAACUCCUCUCAGUUCGGAUCGAAGUCUGCAACCCGACUUCGUGAAGCUGGAUUCGCUAGUAAUCGCGCAUCAGCCACGGCGCGGUGAAUACGUUCCCGGGCCUUGUACACACCGCCCGUCAAGCCAUGAAAGCCGGGGGUACCUGAAGUACGUAACCGCGAGGAUCGUCCUAGGGUAAACCUGGUGAUUGGGGCUAAG